AGCUCAGUGGUCAGCUCGAUGACCGCUGCAGCAAACCCGACCUGGAGGGCAGCUCGCAGCUCCUCAGCAGCGUCCUGGAGGUGCUGGACCGCAAGGAUGUGGGCGCCACCGCUCUGCACGUGCAGCUGAUGAUGGAGCGGCUGCUGCGCCGCGUCAACCGCACCGUCAUCGGGAUGAGCCGCCAGAGCCCGCACAUCGGUAUUUUUGUGGCCUGCAUGACGGCCAUCUUGCGGCAGAUGGACGAUUUCCAUUACAGCCACUACAUCAACACCUUCAAAACGCGGCAGGACA